rnacentral:rRNA from 1 species
UACAGAGGGUGCGAGCGUUGUCCGGAAUCACUGGGCGUAAAGGGCGCGUAGGCGGCCUGGUAAGUAGGGGGUGAAAUCUUGCGGCUCAACUGCAAGGCUGCCUCCUAAACUGUCAGGCUUGAGCACAGUAGAGGCAGGUGGAAUUCCCGGUGUAGCGGUGGAAUGCGUAGAGAUCGGGAAGAACAUCGGUGGCGAAGGCGGCCUGCUGGGCUGUUGCUGACGCUGAGGCGCGACAGCGUGGGGAGCAAACAGG